rnacentral:lncRNA from 1 species
AGUGCUGGGAUUAGAGGCGUGAGCCACCGUGCCCAGCUGAGUUUCCAAAUAUUUCUGAUUUCACUGGAGGUGGGGGGACGACUGGCAGGCGCCUAUAUCCUCGAAGUAUCCUGCCAUGAGAUGCCUGCAGAGUGGGGAAUGGCAUCACCUUUCCAACCCUGUGCAGCACCCAGUGUGAGCUGCUUAUUAGUGGGAACUGGAGAGGAAGAGGAGGAAAAGGAGGACCCAUGGCCAUGGCUUUUUCUGUCCUUGUAACCCUCAACUGAUGUGUAUCCCAUACUUCCUGGUUGGGCAGAGGGGAGAGCAGAGGUUGACAGGUCACAUUUCCCUCAGUUUUCCAUCCUUCCUUCAGUGCUGGGAGAGAAAAGCAUACGACAUAAACAGGGAGGUCAAGCUCCACCACGCAGAUGAGGUGCAGGCCACCAGGCUUCCUCUGCCACAUCUCUUUCUGAAAAGGACUUCACAUUCACCCUUGCAAUCCAUGUGGGGACACUGUUGGAUAGGAGGCGUGGUCCCAGUGUGGUCUCCCUGUCUGGGCCUCUGCCUAUGCCAAAUGUUUGCCUUACGCUGCACACUCAAGAGGUUCCAUGUAUACAGAUGGGAAUUCCAGAGCUACAGAAAAGGCAGCAAGCACCAUGAUUCAAGCUAAUCGGUGUGGAUUCACACCUUCCUCUCUCUCUGUCAGUGGCAGAACUACCAGCUAGAGUAAGAAGUGGUUGAUCCAGGACCUAAACAUUCUGGAAACUCUUGCCCACUUCUGGGAGAAAUGACCCAAUCCGUAGUACUAAGCACACCUUAACUUUCGUAGGACGCAGGCAAGUUGUCAUACCGUGUGCCUAAAUAUAGAAAAAUGAUCGACU